GUGUCAGCAGCCGCGGUAAUACGGGGGGGGCAAGCGUUGUUCGGAAUUACUGGGCGUAAAGGGCUCGUAGGUGGCCAUCUAAGUCAGACGUGAAAUCCCUCGGCUUAACCGGGGAACUGCGUCUGAUACUGGAUGGCUUGAGUGUGGGAGAGGGAUGCGGAAUUCCAGGUGUAGCGGUGAAAUGCGUAGAUAUCUGGAGGAACACCGGUGGCGAAGGCGGCAUCCUGGACCACGACUGACGCUGAGUGAGCGAAAGCCAGGGGAGCAAACGGGAUUAGAAACCCUGGUAGUCC
rnacentral:rRNA from 1 species